AGAAAUUCAGAUUAAUACCGCAUAAGACCACGGGACCGCAUGGUACAGUGAUCAAACCUUUAGGGUUAAAAGAUGGGCAUGCGUGACAUUAGUUAGAUGGCGGGGUAACGGCCCACCAUGACUACGAUGUCUAGCUGGUCUGAGAGGAUGAUCAGCCACACUGGCACUGAGACACGGGCCAGACUCCUACGGGAGGCAGCAGUAGGGAAUAUUGGACAAUGGGCGGAAGCCUGAUCCAGCCAUGCCGCGUGGGGGAAGACGGUCCUCUGGAUUGUAAACCUCUUUUCUGCAAGAAUAAAUUGGUAUUAUAGGUAUCAUUGAAGGUAUUGCAGGAAUAAGCACCGGCUAACUCCGUGCCAGCAGCCGCGGUAAUACGGAGGGUGCAAGCGUUGUCCGGAUUUAUUGGGUUUAAAGGGUGCGUAGGCGGAUGUUUAAGUCAGUGGUGAAAUCUUACGGCUCAACCGUGAAAUUGCCAUUGAUACUGGAUAUCUUGAGUAUGUUCGAGGUGGUUGGAAUGCGUAGUGUAGCGGUGAAAUGCAUAGAUAUUACGCAGAACACCGAUUGCGAAGGCAGAUCACUAAGACAUAACUGACGCUGAUGCACGAAAGCGUGGGUAGCGAACAGGAUUAGAUACCCUGGUAGUCCACGCCGUAAACGAUGGAUACUAGAUGUUCGGGUUUCGGCCUGAGUGUCUAAGCGAAAGCGAUAAGUAUCCCACCUGGGGAGUACGUUCGCAAGGAUGAAACUCAAAGGAAUUGACGGGGGCCCGCACAAGCGGUGGAGCAUGUGGUUUAAUUCGAUGAUACGCGAGGAACCUUACCUGGGCUAUAAUGCCUCUGCACAUCCCUGAAAGGGGGUUUUUCUUCGGAACAGAGUGCAAGGUGCUGCAUGGUUGUCGUCAGCUCGUGCCGUGAGGUGUUGGGUUAAGUCCCGCAACGAGCGCAACCCCUAUUGUUAGUUGCCAGCAUGUAAUGGUGGGGACUCUAACGAGACUGCCUUCGCAAGGAGGAGGAAGGUGGGGAUGACGUCAAAUCAUCAUGGCCCUUACGCCCAGGGCUACACACGUGCUACAAUGGACGGUACAGAGGGUAGCGACACUGCGAAGUGAAGCAAAUCUCAAAAAGCCGUUCUCAGCUCGGAUUGGAGUCUGCAACUCGACUCCAUGAAGCCGGAAUCGCUAGUAAUCGCGCAUCAGCUACGGCGCGGUGAAUACGUUCCCGGGCCUUGUACACACCGCCCGUCAAGCCAUGGGAGCCGGGGGUGCCUGACGUUGGUGACCUAACCGCAAGGGAGGAGCCACCUAGGGUAAAACUGGUGACUGGGGCUAAGUCGUAACAAGGUA
rnacentral:rRNA from 1 species